UGGUAGGUCAGUGCAGCUGAAGCAGAGAGAGAGAAGACAGGCUAUUAUAAGAUAAGCCUGAAGAGGUAGGAUGAGGUCAACCUUAGAGGACCCUGUACACCACAUUAAGGCCUCAUAUUUUCAGCCAUGUAGGCAAAAUUGGGGCAAACAUACUUUUAAAAGGGAUAAUGGAUCCUUAUAAAAGAAAUUAAGGUCAAUAUAUAUUCAUUGCUACUAUUUUGUGCAAGAAACUAUGCUAGGUCUGAAGAAGCUGCCAAAGGAGUACAACAUCUAUGUUCAUAAUGCAUAAGCAGUCCAAUGAAUAAACAGUGAAAUAUAUUCCAUGUUGUCAGAGAAUAUCUUUAAAUGAUAUGAAGAUUUACUGGAAGAAGACAUGUAACAUGACAAGAGGGAAUAGAAUCUGGGGAACACUUAAUAGAAAAAGGCUAAUGAACAGUCAAUAGAAUUUCUACUAGCAGAAAUGGAGAGUGUGGAGUUAGUGCUAUUGACAGAGUUAUCAAUGUGAGCAAAACCAAACACCAAAAGUGGACCAUGUCCAUUGUCUUUGGGGAGAACAGUAGAAACUUCAGGGAGGUUGUGAUACAGGCACCACCUGGAGAUGGUACAACAGAACAAUGUCUUACUUUUACAUUGUACCCUACAUUUAUAAUCUCAAUAGAUCUCCAAAAGAACACUAUGAAAGAAAUAGGGAAGCUUUAGCAGUUAUCUUCAUUUUACUGAAAUGUAGAGUGUAUAAAUAAUUUUUCCAAGAACACACAACUGGCAAAUGAUUGAUCCACAAUUAAAAUACAGAUUGCAAGUUUCCACUGCUUCACUGAGUCACAAAUUUCAAUCAUUCAGAAUCCAUCUUUAUGGUUUCACUACAUCUGGAUAUCACUUUACUAUCAUACACUUAACGUUUAUCUUUUAAUUGACUAAUUCUUUUUCCUUAAAAUUUUUUAAAAGGAAACUAUCACCCCCUAAGAGGAAGCCAAUAUCAUUUGUCACAAGUUUAAAGCAUGGAUUAUUGCAAAAAUCAAGAUGCAGACAAAAUGGCAAAUCUGAGAAGAGAUGGACAGGCAAAAUGGAGCACAACGGAGUCACUACUGCUACGUCAGUGUGGAGUCGCACCUUGAGCCAUAGUGUUACUUAACCAUGUUCCUUGAUGGCACACAGAAUGUUAUACUGUAAUAUAGAUGUAAAUAUUAAUAUAAUAUAGAAGCAUAUAGUAUAUAUAUCAUACUGUAAUAUAGAAAUAAAUAUUAUACUUCUGGAAUUCUGGAAAUAGUUCUGUCUGUGAUGUCAUCGGAAAAAAAAACUUGAGGGCUGAGCUAUUUGUCCUCAGUGCCUAGGUUCUGUGGAACCCAGCACAGUGACUUUCAUCCCUGUGAAACCUCAACAAAACACUAGCGAAGGGUGGUCAUUCCCAGUUAUAUAAAGAUCUUUGAUGAUGAUAGGUACACCGGGGUUUCCAACUCAAAUAGUGCACAAGUGAGGAAAUAAUAAUAAAUAUAAGUAAAGUGGGCCAGGUAGAACUACAACAAGCUGGAGUACUCACAGCCCUUAUAAGGGCAGAGUCGCUAUCUGUACCAGCUGAUUGUUGCUAUGUGGAAAUGCAAGCCUAAAGCGCCAAAUACUCUGUUUUUUCCAAAAGAAGUGGGAAAUAGCCUGUAAGUGUCAAAACUAAUUCAACUUUUAAAAGAUCUCCAGGCAGCUCAAACAAAACCUAUCUACAGAUCCCCAGUUUGCAACCUCCUACCAUAAAAGGUCCAUGAGCUUGGUUUAAUGCAGGGUGAAGUUACUUAUCACCUUGGCAUCUCUAUUUGUCUAUCCAAAUAAUAGAGAUAACUAUAAUUCCUUUCUCAUAGCAUUGUUUGAGAAAUAAAAUGUGUUACUACAUGGUAAGCAUUUGCACUGUCUCAUUUUAUGCAUUUUUGUUAUUAAAAAUUAUAUUUUAUGUAUUUGCCUAG
rnacentral:lncRNA from 10 species